UUAUAAGCUGAGUUAUUAUUUAUAAUAUAUGAAAAUAUAAAGAGACUCAGUAAACAAAACUCAUUGUUUAUUUAUUUUAAAAAAAUAUAUGUUAAAUAGAAUGGCUGCCAGAUGAUGAUAAAUUAAUUGGCGUUGCCAAACUAAAGAUUAAUAUAUAUAACACACAUGUCCCUUUAACAAUCAAAGAUUCAAUCUGAGUGGAGGUCGAACUACCCUACCAGAUCUAGUGGUGAUCAGGUUCUUUGAGGAUCCGGUGGUCAAGUUCUUUGAGGAUCCGGUGGUCCAGUUCUUUGGGGAUCUGGUGAUCAAGUUCUUUGGGGAUCCGGUCGUCAAGUUCUUGGGGAUCUGGUGGUCAAGUUCUUUGGGGAUCCGGUGGUCAAGUUCUUUGGGAUCCAGUGGGCCAGUUCCUUGGGGAUCCAGUGGUCCAGUUCUUUGGGGAUCCGGUGGUCAAGUUCUUUGAGGAUCCGGUGGUCAAGUUCUUUGGGGAAUCCGGUGGUCAAGUUCUUUGGGGAUCCAGUGGGCCAGUUCUUUGGGGAUUCGGUGGUCAAGUUCUUUGGGGAUCCGGUGGUCAAGUUCUUUGGGGAUCUGGUGGUCAAGUUCUUUGGGGAUCCAGUGGGCCAGUUCUUUGGAGAUCCGGUGGUCAAGUUCUUUGGGGAUCCAGUGGGCCAGUUCCCUGGAGAUCCGGUGGUCAAGUUCUUUGGGGAUCCGGUGGUCAAGUUCUUUGGGGAUCCAGUGGGCCAGUUCCUUGGGGAUCCGGAAAAAGAGAUUUGUCCAGAAGAUGGAGAGGGAAGCUGUGUAGACUCCUGUGAUGUGAAAUCUUCCAGGUCUUGAAAAUUAGCUAGUUCCUGGCUCAGUUUUUUUUUAAAGGUUUCUCCCAGUCUGUGUGAGCAGUUUCAUUUUGUUUAUCCUUGCGAAUGUGAAUUCUAUUCCUUCUAUAUUAAUUACCUUCUUGAUAUUUCACGUAAAAGGAUCGGGGUUCAUGGGCUUGGUUUGUUAUCUGGCCUAGGAUCCAUCUUUUAUCCUUUUGAAACCAAACUAAAAUAUGAAAAUAUAGAGUAUAUUCUAUUUACACACAUGUUUUGGCAUACAGAGCGUGCAUUCCUUUCAUGUAGCCAGAGUAGAGAGUUUGCGAUCUUUUUCUCUGUUCUUUGGUGCUGCAGACUACACAUUGUCUCUCUUGAUUCUCUGGAAGCUUUUGGAGCUUUGGUGAGCUUGUAGAUGUUAUUGGGGCGUUGAUAAGGGGCUCUACAAGGGAAUCAAAUACUGAAAGGGUGAAUGCUUCCCUUUCCAGAAGUUUUUCAUCCUUGGAGUGCUCACAAUAUAUGAUGUAGGCAUUCAGAAGAGCUCGAUGUAAAAGGUUCACAACCACCUUUCUAUAAAAUUUCCUUUCAUCCAUAUGCACUUAGAGCAUCAUGUCUACACCUCCCAUGUCAUACACUAUCCUGGGGAUAUACUCUCUCCUGCCUGUCCCUAUCCAUGGUUUCAGCAUCACAGUCGGAUAGGCUCUUUGCUUCUUUCACUAAAUUGAAAUCUUCAAAUAAGAAUAGAAAAAUAUAACGAUGAUUGAAGUGUCUUAUAAGACGUAUUUUAAAGAUAUCUUGGUGGUUGAGGAUCUUGAUGGAAGAUUCUACAUUAGAUAAGAUUAACGGGAUGUUUAACUUGGCAGGAACCCUGUACUUGAGACCUAAUGAAAGGAGGUUCUUUUUCCGUUAGGGAUAAUUCUGCCGAGGAGAGAUUUAUUAGGUUGGAAGAUAUAUGAUUCUUAUAAGACACUCCUUUUCAAUCGUAGUUAUAUUUUUCUUUGCUUCUUUGUAUGCUAUAGCUAGCUGGCAAUCUUUUUGCAUAUAUAACACUCAUUUAGACCUGCCUUUGCUAAUGUCUUGCAAAAUCCAGAUCUAUUUGCUCUGAUUGUACCGGUCAAGUAGGUCUGGUUAUGGAAAAAAUCCUCAGCGAGCUUGGAACUGGUAAAAAAAUUGUCCAAUUCAAGGUGGUGCUCUUUCCCUAAAAGUUUGGCCUUUCUCAUAAGUUCCAUUGGAGCAUCAUAUGAAAGGCUUACUUGUAUUGGGGACAAUUUGCCUUUAUAAGGAGUCAGUUUGAGGCAAUAGUCAGUGUCUGAUUCGCACAACAUCCAGAGCUUCACCCCAAAUUAUCCAUGGUGCUUUUGCGGCAUAUAUUGCCUUGGCCUUAUGCGAUUUUUCAGAAAAUGGUUUGGUUUGGUCAUAGGCUGGAUCUGAACUAGGGAGAAUAUGUGCUGGACCAACAGCACUGAAAAAGCUGGGAAAAAUGGAAAGUAAACACUCACCCAAGGUAAAAAAACGAAUUCUUCAUCAGAAUUUACUGAUUCUUGCUCCUGUGUCUAUUAAAAAGGGCAAAUUUACAUUUGGUGACAGUUCAGUCCAUAUUAUUAGCUGUUCAACGAAAAAAGGUUGAAGGUUUUCCUACCGUUGAGCUGCUCGUGGGGCUUGUAGAGUCGUCUUGGCUUGCAGCUUAGACUUGGGGAACAUGGCUCGGAGAUUGGACCUUGGACCGGGUAUCAGAUUUUGGUACAGUGGUUGUGCGUGGUCUGGCGCUGUAGACUUGGCGUGUUCGAUCCUGUGGGAACCGUUGUUCACACUGGGAGUGCCAGUGCAUAGCAUUGCAAUACUUGCAAGGCGAGGGUGGGGGUGCAACUUGGUACGUUACAUGUGAUGACCGCUGGUUGUUGUACCGCAGUGGUGGGUUGUGGUAGGUUGGGUGUGGAGCCUUGUCUACUUGGCGCUGGUACACUGCACUGGUGGCACACUGAGUUCCUCUUAUUCUUGACACUAGGUCGAACCAUUCUUUAAUGGUGUUUGGUUGUACCGUUGCGAUUAAUCGCUGGUCUGUGACGGGCAGUCCGUCGGUCAGAGACUCUAUUAAUAUGUCGGCGGGUAGGUUGAGUUUCAUGCCCAUAACCGUUUUGUUUUGGUAGUAGUCUUCUAGGGGCAUUUGGGGUGUCAAUUUGAUAGCCAAAAAGCGUGCAAAUGACGCUUCUGUCAUUGCUGGGAAUAAGUAUCAGUGUCUGGCUGGCAUCAUUAUAAAAUAACCUAUCUAACUGUAGGCUUCGGAAAUAUUGGAGUGGCUUACCUUGCAGGUAGCAGGGUAACUUGCGUAGGCGGUCCGUGUAGGUCAGCUCAGCUCGGUCUGCUUGGGCAUCGAAGUUGUCGAAAAAGCUCUGGGCUUCAAAGGUACCAUCGUAUGGACUCACUUCUAUCUCCCUCGGAGAUCGGGCGAUCAGCAGCUUACUCAGGGCAUCGGCGAUCUGUGUCAGCGAUUCUGCGGAGGUACCUUGGGGCGGCGACAUUUCCUCCUCUUCAAAUGUCGUCUCUUGUUUGGGGACAGAUUGCUCGGCCGUAUCGUUGGACUGGUCGGUUUGUUCUUCCAUCUUGGCUCUUUCUCUCUUUUCUAUCUGGACAGUCUUCUUACCUUAUUCGCUGUGGUGUCCUUCGUUUGGGUUAUCCUGUCGACUCUCGCUAUAAGCUGUGGUAACCGAGGGUCAAACCUGUAGUAACCGAGAAGGACAGUCAGGGCGUGGAGAGUUUUUCAGUACCUCUCUGCACCUUGUAGGACCUUUAACAGUUCUCACAGAGUACAGGCAGUCGUGGUCGAGGCAUAGUGGAAAGCUUGGGAAUGUCCACACACAAAAAAACGAAGAGACACACUCGUAGUAGGAAAAUUCCAUGAACAGAUAAAAGUAGAGCUAAGAGCAAGAUGGAGUUAGAAGAGAUCUUACUGAUUUACAUGGCGAUGAGGUGGUCCUGGUUAAGACCGACAAGGGCUGGCGCCGACAGUGAAGUGACUGUAUUGUUUGGCUAAAACGGGGAGGUUUUAUCCUCCGACAAAAGAAGUAUCGCAUUACAGUACAUGCGAGAGGGCGCAGAUCCUCUGGCGAAACUGGACCUUGGCGCCGUCCUGACAGCUUCGAAUCUAUCUUUAGAAGUUGCUUUGUGUUUGACUUCUAUCUCUCUAGCUCAACUCUUAAUCUAUUACAGAGUUUUAUUUAUUAUUCUCAGUUUGUACAAGUUACAUUACAUAUGAUGAUGUAAUGACACAUGUCAAUCAUGCGUAUAAUCAUUUACAGAUGUGUUUCUAUUAUACAACAUGAAAAUCUUAUAAGUUAUAUACAAUAUGGGGUUGUUGGUGUAAAUUACCAUAUAUACAAUAAUUUAAUGCGAUAAAAUGAUUUUUAUACCUUAUAAUAAUAUUUUAUUGUAUGGUAAAGUUUGAAGCAAUCACCAAGGCAUAGUAGAACUAGGCAGGUCUCACAUUCAUAGGCUGUAUCUUUUCUUGCCUGCUUGCCAGAGGUUACCCUGCCUUUUUCAGCGCAAACUUUGCAUCUGCGUUGGGCAUAUGUUUUGCCUUCAACUUUGAUUCGGCGAAUAAAAUGACGUCCAAUAAGUCGAUCAGAUUGUUCACCGCUUGAAGGUUGAGCAUCAAGAAUAUCUUGAUUGGCUUCUGAGCAAAGAGCUUCGCAUAUUGAAAUAUGGAAGUCCCUCAAAGACAUUUUAGCAUCAGGAUUCAAUUUAUUGUAAAUUAUGCAUGAAUUUACAAUAGCAAGUCCAUAUAUAUGGAAAAAUAGUUUCUUCCACCAUUUCAUUGUGCGUCGAUCAAAAGAAUAAUAGGAGAGCAUCUGGUCACUUCGGUCCACUCCAAUUUUAUUCUUAUUGUAGUCAAGAACAACUUGUGGUUUGAGUAUUGGAGCUUGAGAAAGUCCAGGCCUCCCCAUGACUUCAACCAUUUGAUGGUCGUGAACAGUUGAGAUCAUCCAAACAUCUCUGGUGUGGCGCCAUUUCAUUGCCAUUAGGCUACCCUUGAAUAGAUGCAUUUCUUUACCUUUCUUCAAUUUUUUUGAAAAGGAAUUCUUAGGAAGACCUUUCCUAUUAGUUUUUACUGUACCAACAGCCAUUGUUUUCUUUUCCCAUAGAUAGUUGAAGAGGUGAAGCGAAGAAAACCACCUGUCACAAUAAAU